rnacentral:rRNA from 1 species
UGGGGAAUAUUGGACAAUGGGCGAAAGCCUGAUCCAGCAAUGCCGCGUGAGUGAUGAAGGCCUUAGGGUUGUAAAGCUCUUUUACCAGGGAUGAUAAUGACAGUACCUGGAGAAUAAGCUCCGGCUAACUCCGUGCCAGCAGCCGCGGUAAUACGGAGGGAGCUAGCGUUGUUCGGAAUUACUGGGCGUAAAGCGCGCGUAGGCGGCUCAUCAAGUCAGGGGUGAAAUCCCGGGGCUCAACCCCGGAACUGCCCUUGAAACUGGCGAGCUAGAAUCCUGGAGAGGCGAGUGGAAUUCCGAGUGUAGAGGUGAAAUUCGUAGAUAUUCGGAAGAACACCAGUGGCGAAGGCGACUCGCUGGACAGGUAUUGACGCUGAGGUGCGAAAGCGUGGGGAGCAAACAGGAUUAGAUACCCCCGUAGUCC